CCUACGGGAGGCAGCAGUGGGGAAUAUUGGACAAUGGGCGAAAGCCUGAUCCAGCCAUGCCGCGUGUGUGAAGAAGGCCUUCGGGUUGUAAAGCACUUUCAGUGGGGAAGAAAGCCUUGGGGCUAAUACCCUCGAGGAAGGACAUCACCCACAGAAGAAGCACCGGCUAACUCCGUGCCAGCAGCCGCGGUAAUACGGAGGGUGCGAGCGUUAAUCGGAAUUACUGGGCGUAAAGCGCGCGUAGGCGGUCUGAUAAGCCGGUUGUGAAAGCCCCGGGCUCAACCUGGGAACGGCAUCCGGAACUGUCAGGCUAGAGUGCAGGAGAGGAAGGUAGAAUUUCCGGUGUAGCGGUGAAAUGCGUAGAGAUCGGGAGGAAUACCAGUGGCGAAGGCGGCCUUCUGGACUGACACUGACGCUGAGGUGCGAAAGCGUGGGUAGCAAACAGGAUUAGAUACCCCAGUAGUC
rnacentral:rRNA from 1 species